rnacentral:rRNA from 1 species
UACGUAGGGGGCAAGCGUUGUCCGGAUUUAUUGGGCGUAAAGAGCUCGUAGGUGGUUUGGUAAGUCGGAUGUGAAAUCUCCAGGCUCAACCUGGAGGGGCCAUUCGAAACUGCCGUGACUCGAGUCCGGUAGGGGAGUGUGGAAUUCCCGGUGUAGCGGUGAAAUGCGCAGAUAUCGAGAGGAACACCAGUGGCGAAGGCGAGUCCCUGGACGACUCCUGACACUGAGGCACGAAAGCUAGGGGAGCAAACAGG